rnacentral:snoRNA from 1 species
UACCUGACUUAAAAAUGAUGAGUAAAACCAAAUCACCAUCUUUCGGCUGA